rnacentral:rRNA from 1 species
ACCACGGUAACCUGUGGCUAAGAGUGUAGAAUAAGGUGCAAUCCUAUUAGUUUGUUGGUAGUGUAAAGGACUACCAAGGCAGUGAUGGGUAACGGGAAAUCAGGGUUUGAUUCCGGAGAGGGAGCCUGAGAGAUGGCUCCCACGUCCAAGGAUGGCAGCAGGCGCGAAAAUUGUCCACUCUUUUGAGAGGAGACAGUUAUGAAACGUGAGUAGAAGGGUCGAGUGUAAAAACCUUGACGUGAAGCAAUUGGAGGGCAAGUUUUGGUGCCAGCAGCCGCGGUAAUUCCAACUCCAAGAGUGUCUAUGGUGGAUGCUGCAGUUAAAGGGUCCGUAGUCGUAGAUGCAAUUAAAAGGUGGUGUUAAAAGCCAUUGAGUUUGUUGAGAGUAGCGGAACGGAUAGGGAGCAUGGUAUAGGUGGGCAAAGAAUGAAAUCUCAAGACCCCACCUGGACCAACGGAGGCGAAAGCGAUGCUCUUAGACGUAUCUGGGGAUCAAGGACGAAGGCUAGAGUAUCGAAAGUGAUUAGACACCGCUGUAGUUCUAGCAGUAAACUAUGCCGACAAUGCUGGGUGUUGCGAGAGCGAUGCUUGGUGUGGGAGAAAUCUUAGUUUUCGGGCUCUGGGGAUAGUACGCUCGCAAGGGUGAAACUUAAAGCGAAAUUGACGGAAGGACACUACCAGGAGUGGAUUGUGCUGCUUAAUUUAACUCAACGCGGGAAAACUUACCAGGGUCAAGUCUAUCGUAGAUUGGAGACAUGAGGUAGACAAGAGUGGUGCAUGGCCGUUGGAAAUUGAUGGGGCGACUUUUAGCUUAAGUGCUGGAACCAGUGAGAUCUUCUAGACAGGUGUUAUUUAGGCACAGGAGGGAGAAGGCAAUAACAGGUCCGUGAUGCCCUUAGAUAUCCUGGGCAGCAAGCGCAAUACAAUAUCUCUUGAGAAGACAAAGCAAUUGAGAUGAGUAGGAUUAGCUUU